rnacentral:rRNA from 1 species
UACGGAGGGGGCAAGCGUUGUUCGGGGUUACUGGGCGUAAAGGGCGCGUAGGCGGCGCAUCAAGUCAGGCGUGAAAGCCCCGGGCUUAACCUGGGAAUUGCGCUUGAUACUGAUGUGCUAGAGAGCGGGAGAGGAUGGCGGAAUUCCCAGUGUAGAGGUGAAAUUCGUAGAUAUUGGGAAGAACACCGGUGGCGAAGGCGGCCAUCUGGACCGUUUCUGACGCUGAGGCGCGAAAGCGUGGGGAGCAAACAGG